rnacentral:lncRNA from 1 species
GUCUUCCGCCUCAGCUGUGGAGCCUCGCCGACCGUUAGUCCUCACAGCCACCUCAGGGGCAACCGACGCAGCGCCACCUCAUCGUGUCCGCCAUCUUGGGGCGACGGGCAGAAGUCGAGGGCUAGGAGCCUCCGCCGGCGCACGCUGGGGAACAGGUCUAGGUUAAUAGCAGGUAAUUGUGACAAGUCCAGUGUGGGUUACUGGUCAUGAAGAAUCCAUUGUUGAUGACAUCCCAGAAGAGAACACUAAGUCUUAUCUUUCAUCUUACCCCUGAACUUCCCUUCCUCUGAAGCACUCAUUAGGUGAAUAAACAAUAUUCCCUAUACCUAUAGAGUGGAAUACUACCCAGCAUCCUCUCACAUACAAAGAAAGAACAAAUUGCUGAUAGACACAGAUGUCCAUCAAUCUCAAAAGUCGUCAUGAAACCUCUGGAAGAAUUGAGCUGGUCGACUAUGCAAACACUUGUCAAGAGCCUAUAAAAUACGCAGCAUAAAAUUUUUCCUUUGUAGUCAAACCUGAUUAUUCCUCUUAAAUACUGGGAACAGAAUUUCACAGUUGUCAGAGAAUAUACCUUUUGUAUUUUCGUAUUAAAUAUUCUAUUAUUUACAAUUGUAGUUUAACACCUUUUUUAGCUAAAAUUCUCAUUUUUCUCAUUCUGUUAAAAAUUUCCAAUUCCAACACGAAGAUAAU